UGCUCAUCGGGUUUACUUUCAGUCAAAAACCACCAGAUUUGCUCACAGCCUUCCACCGAUUUGUGCUCAACAAAAUCAAUUUGCUACAAUACACUCGAUGAAAAUCAAUUGCUCUCCCAGUCUGCUCAAUCUCUCAAUUGCUCCUCAUCUCUCGUUUCUCUCUCAAUCAAUCUCUCGGCAGGCUUCUUAUCUUAAUCUCAAUCUCAAUCUGAAUCUCUGGGUCUGCUCAAUGUCUCUAGUGCUCUCUGUGUCUGCUUCAAAUACAUGAAUUCACUGGUUUUUUGGUCGAUUGGGACAUAUCUCAAAAAUUAUUCAGCGGUUGGAUUGUAUUUAUUUGCUGGGUUCUUUGGUCUGCUGCAAAACUAGGGUUUUCAUCAAAUUCCUGGAAGAUUUGGCUGCAAGUUGGACAGGAACAGUUGUGCGUUCUCCAAGAGGGGUCAAGUCAUCCUCUGCAUUUGGUGAUCAGAAGUACAUUUGCUUCAGCAGAGUAUGCUUUCACCACUGGACAGCUCUUAUAGGAGAACUGGGAGUGCUAAUUCGAUGCCGAGAGUUUGGGGAAAAGAAGUAUAGGCUGAAAGAAAUUAUUGAUUCAAAGGUUAUUAAUUUCGUUGACCAUUGACACAUGCUUCUGCAAGUAAUUCGGCCGCCAGUGCAGUACUUCACUGAGAAACAAUUCUGAUGCCCUGAUCACCUUUUUAUCAUUAAUUCAGGUAAAUACUCUGGAUAGACUAACCCAUGAUCCUCACUUGCUUACAAAAUCAUAUAAUAAAUAUAUUACAAUAAACAAUAGGAAACAGAAGCUGAAUUAUUUGGCCACACAAAAACAGUCCUUCACAAAAAGAUAAAUGCAGUCUAUCUUUUUGUGGCAAUUUAAGUCUAGCACUCGCACUAACUUUAUGCAGCGUUGCCAAUAAAUCUCCACUGGAAGGGUGGACAUCUAGAGUGAAUUUUUGUGAUAAGCUUCACGUUCCAGUAUGUUCUAACGCUUGGCCUGUAUUUUGUUUUAAGUUUACUAUUUCCAAUCCCUUGCAGCUUCCCUUAAAGUGUUCUGUGAAUUAUUAACAGGUUAGAGUUGCUACAGUUGAAAAGUAGACAUGCCUUUUUGAUCCUUAUCUAUCUGUACUGAAGGUAUCAUUUGAACAUAGGGGAAGCUAUCACUCUGCAGACAAUGUGGAGUCUGGACAAUUCAGUUUUCAGGCAGUGGCAUCGGCUUGCUUGCUUUUUUGCUGUCGAACAUAAGCCUGCUACUGCAGACUGUUUAUUUUGAACGGAAGUCUGGUACUGAUGCUAAAGAUUAGACUAAUGUUGAGAAAAAAGGCUCAGUCAAUGAUGAAGAUGAAGCUUGAAGAAUCGAGUGUUGUUGAAGGAAAGCUUGUUAUCUUGAAUAAAUUAUUAUAAAGAUAUGUGAGGUUACUAGUUAAUAUAGUUUGUUAUAUUUCAUCCGGUCUCUACGUUUCUCAUUGUUUGUUAAUUAGGAUAUCAUAGACUUAGUAUGCACAAGACACUAAUGUAUGGAUAUAUUUCUUUUGGAUGUUGUAUAACAACUUGUACAUAAUACAAUGUAUUGAUUAAUUCCCAUUUAA